rnacentral:rRNA from 1 species
GGUUAACCGAAUAGGGGAGCCGGAGGGAAACCGAGUCUUAAUUGGGCGUUAAGUUGCAGGGUAUAGACCCGAAACCCGGUGAUCUAGCCAUGGGCAGGUUGAAGGUUGGGUAACACUAACUGGAGGACCGAACCGACUAAUGUUGAAAAAUUAGCGGAUGACCUGUGGCUGGGGGUGAAAGGCCAAUCAAACCGGGAGAUAGCUGGUUCUCCCCGAAAGCUAUUUAGGUAGCGCCUCGUGAAUUCAUCUCCGGGGGUAGAGCACUGUUUCGGCUAGGGGGCCAUCCCGGCUUACCAACCCGAUGCAAACUGCGAAUACCGGAGAAUGUUAUCACGGGAGACACACGGCGGGUGCUAACGUCCGUCGUGAAGAGGGAAACAACCCAGACCGCCAGCUAAGGUCCCAAAGUCAUGGUUAAGUGGGAAACGAUGUGGGAAGGCCCAGACAGCCAGGAUGUUGGCUUAGAAGCAGCCAUCAUUUAAAGAAAGCGUAAUAGCUCACUGGUCGAGUCGGCCUGCGCGGAAGAUGUAACGGGGCUAAACCAUGCACCGAAGCUGCGGCAGCGACGCUGAUGCGUUGUUGGGUAGGGGAGCGUUCUGUAAGCCUGCGAAGGUGGCCUGUGAGGGUUGCUGGAGGUAUCAGAAGUGCGAAUGCUGACAUAAGUAACGAUAAAGCGGGUGAAAAGCCCGCUCGCCGGAAGACCAAGGGUUCCUGUCCAACGUUAAUCGGGGCAGGGUGAGUCGACCCCUAAGGCGAGGCCGAAAGGCGUAGUCGAUGGGAAACGGGUUAAUAUUCCCGUACUUGGUGUUACUGCGAAGGGGGGACGGAGAAGGCUAUGUUGGCCGGGCGACGGUUGUCCCGGUUUAAGCGUGUAGGUGUGUGUUCCAGGUAAAUCCGGUU